rnacentral:piRNA from 1 species
UUGCUCUACCGUUAAGCAAAA